GUUUCUUCCGGAACUGCUGCAAGCUUGAGAAGCUUGUCUCAUACCUGGAAUGAAGCCCUAGGAAUGCUGAGCCCGGGUGACAUUUCUGUUUCUUCUAGUACAUGGCAACGACAAUGUCCUUUCUUCAGAAAUGUACUGGGAAGUUCAAUAUAGAAAAUACCUAAGUGGCAUUACUCUGGCUGAAGUAAGAUUGAGAAUUGCAGAGUCCUGCUUCCCCAGCCUGCCUCUACCCCUCCGCCCGCCCCCACCAACAAGCCUCUCAAACUCCGCGAAGACU